AUUGAACGCUGGCGGCAGGCCUAACACAUGCAAGUCGAGCGGAUGAAGGGAGCUUGCUCCUGGAUUCAGCGGCGGACGGGUGAGUAAUGCCUAGGAAUCUGCCUGGUAGUGGGGGAUAACGUCCGGAAACGGGCGCUAAUACCGCAUACGUCCUGAGGGAGAAAGUGGGGGAUCUUCGGACCUCACGCUAUCAGAUGAGCCUAGGUCGGAUUAGCUAGUUGGUGGGGUAAAGGCCUACCAAGGCGACGAUCCGUAACUGGUCUGAGAGGAUGAUCGGUCACACUGGAACGGGGACGCGGUCAUGGCUCCUGCGGGAGGCAGCAGUGGGGAAUAUUGGACAAUGGGCGAAAGCCUGAUCCAGCCAGGCCGCGUGUGUGAAGGAGGUCUUCGGAUUGUAAAGCACUUUUAGUGGGGAGGAAGGGCAGUAAGUUAAUACCUUGCGGUUUUGACGUUACCAACAGAAUAAGCACCGGCUAACUUCGUG
rnacentral:rRNA from 1 species